CCGGGUUGUUUAUACAGGUGCGGGCUGAACGCUUUCUCUGCUAAAGAUUAAUGGGAGAAAGUGCAGAAUUUCUUUAAACAAAGGAGAAAAUCGUACCCGGUCUCAAAAGCCACAAUGGCAAAAUCUCACCUUCCGCGCCCACCUCUUCCUCAGCCGAUUAAAGGCGACGCAGAAUGAAUACUUCGUCUCAUUUAAUGUCGGGAUGGGGCGGAGAGGGGGUCUGGGAAGUAAAGGAAUGGCCAAAUUCUCAGAUCAUCAUCUGUCACCUUGGAUAGUGCAGGCAAUGGGAAGUGCAACUGGGUGAAUCGGGAGCGAGCCUCGACUUCGGAUUUACACCCAAAGAAGCCGAGCAGGAGGGACUCCUCUCAGAUCCACCAAACCUCUGAUUUUCGCGACCCCGGCCAAGGCUCUCCGCGUGCUGAGGAAGGGAAAUGCCCCCUCGUACACGGAGGCAGCGUUUCACGCCCGUUAUUAGGGAGCUGCAGCAGAGCACGGGCUGCGCGAGGGGCACACGAGGCUCCGGUGCGAAGGGACUCCGGGCACUGCUGGCCCUGCAGCAGGUGGAUGAGUGACAGCCUUUGUUUAAUGCCACCUACAGCAGGAGGAGCUGCUGCAUGGCUGAGAGCCCCCGGGAGAGGCACCUGGGAAGGGGACACAAUAACAAUGCCCUUAGGCAGGAGGGGGGGGGAGGGGGCUGGGGGGGGGAGUGUGUUUACUAGGCUUGCUUUCGCCUAGCAGCGCGAACCUUCCGAGGAGGGUUCCCCCGAGGAUCCCCGAGCUGAGCAUCGCCUCUCCGCCCCCUCCGCCCACCGGCAGCGGCCCCGGGGCUGCCCCGCUCGGGGAGCGCAGGGGAAGGGCUGGGACGCAGGGAGCGACCCCGCCGCCC
ensembl:lncRNA